GGGUGAUUAGCUCAGCUGGGAGAGCACCUCCUUACAAGGAGGGGGUCGGCGCUUCGAUCCCGUCAUCACCCACCA
rnacentral:tRNA from 1 species